rnacentral:rRNA from 1 species
UGGGGAAUAUUGCACAAUGGGGGAAACCCUGAUGCAGCGACGCCGCGUGAACGAAGAAGGUAUUCGUAUCGUAAAGUUCUGUCCUAUGGGAAGAUAAUGACAGUACCAUAGAAGAAAGCUCCGGCUAAAUACGUGCCAGCAGCCGCGGUAAUACGUAUGGAGCGAGCGUUGUCCGGAAUUAUUGGGCGUAAGGGGUACGCAGGCGGUUUAAUAAGUCGAAUGUUAAAGAUCGGGGCUCAACCCCGUAAAGCAUUGGAAACUGAUAAACUUGAGUAGUGGAGAGGAAAGUGGAAUUCCUAGUGUAGUGGUGAAAUACGUAGAUAUUAGGAGGAAUACCAGUAGCGAAGGCGACUUUCUGGACACAAACUGACGCUGAGGUACGAAAGCGUGGGGAGCAAACAGG